GACGAACGCUGGCGGCGUGCUUAACACAUGCCAGUCGAACGGAAAGGCCCUGCUUUUGUGGGGUGCUCGAGUGGCGAACGGGUGAGUAACACGUGAGUAACCUGCCCUUGACUUUGGGAUAACUUCAGGAAACUGGGGCUAAUACCGGAUAGGAGCUCCUGCUGCAUGGUGGGGGUUGGAAAGUUUCGGCGGUUGGGGAUGGACUCGCGGCUUAUCAGCUUGUUGGUGGGGUAGUGGCUUACCAAGGCUUUGACGGGUAGCCGGCCUGGGAGGGUGACCGGCCACAUUGGGACUGAGAUACGGCCCAGCCUCCUACGGGAGGCAGCAGUGGGGAAUAUUGCACAAUGGGCGGAAGCCUGAUGCAGCAACGCCGCGGGCGGGAUGACGGCCUGCGGGUUGUAAACCGCUUUCGCCUGAGACGAAGCGUGAGUGACGGUAAUGGGUAAAGAAGCACCGGCUAACUACGUG
rnacentral:rRNA from 1 species